AGACUUUGUCGACUACUACAAGGAGCAUUAAUUCGACAAAUGCGCUGCAGUCAACUAGCGCUGGAACAAACUCAUCAAAUGUGGUCAACAUUACUAAUACUAAUACGACUGAGAAUAGUUACAGCAACGACACAUCAAUCCAGACAUCGGCAACAACAACAACAGUAAAUCAUAACAGCUCAUUCUUUCCCGGGGACCCAACUGAUCACAUCCUUGUUGAUGUGAUGAAUGUUAAAAAAACCAACGAAGAAGGGGAGAAUGAAGAUUGGUGGUUUAUCCUCAUCGUAACAGCUUCGUCUUUUAUUACCAUCGUUGCCCUCAUUUUCGUUGUGCUUGUGUUUCGUCAUAAGAGAAAGAACGGUGUCUGGUUUAAAGGUUAGUUUAU